CCUAAGAGAUACGUAUUAUGUGCAGUGCUCACACAGAUUGUCUGAUGAAGAACGAGCAAAAGCGCGUCUGCGAAGCUGACAAAAGUCCCCUUCGUCUAGAGGCCUAGGACACCGCCCUUUCACGGCGGUAACAGGGGUUCGAAUCCCCUAGGGGACGCCAAUGCGCGGUAUGAGUGAAAGGCGUACCACUUAUCUGACGAGAGUCAGAGAAUAACUAAGCUAAUUCAAACGAGUUAUCUUACUUAUUAUGCUCUUUAACAAUCUGGAACAAGCUGAAAAAUUGAAAACAAAUCAAUAUAUCACCGAGGUAUAUUGGUGAGUCUCUCAAAAUCUCAAACCUUAAAGUUUGUCACACAAAGUUUAUCUUUGAAAAAGACACUUUCGGGUUGUGA
rnacentral:misc_RNA from 1 species